CAGCUCCCGCAGUUUCUUUGCUGUGUACGACUCUGAGAAGAAAAAAAAGUUCAAAGCUCAGACGAACUCUCGGUGCAUCCAAAGCCUGCUGAGGGUUCAUCCCAAACUCGACCAUGUUCAGCAGGACCUUAACAAAACAGACCAGAUUAUUGCAGAAAACAUGACGACCAGAGAAGCAGACGAACCUUUUGGCUUCCAAACAACUGGACUGUGUCGCACCAGAGAGCAGGAGCUCCAGGGACAGUCACAUUUAAAGCAUCAAACGCCGAAGGAGGAGCUUCUGCUGAGUAGCUGAGUCCUUCCAGAAAGUCCAGGGUCAAAGUUCGAGUUUUUCCAUCGUAGAACAAGCAGAAGGCAUCGCCGCCGAGUCCAGUGCUGCACGGCUCCGUUACCGCCAGAGCCGCUGCCAUGGCAACAGCCGCAUCUGCAGCAUUCCCGCCACGCUUCAGGACAUCUGGACUCAAAAG